GACCGCUGGUCACGCAUGGAUCUUAACGGCUAUGUUAUUCUUUUCGCCCAGACUACAGAUCAUAAGACAAAGCUCUUAGGAUGCCCUUCGGACCAGACAGAUUUUGAGACUGGGGAUGAAAUAAUUGAAGUCAAUGGCCGCUUGGUCAAGAACUGCCCGGAGGAAUGUUUGACAAGAUAUAUCAGACAGUGUAUCAAGUCCAGAAUAAUCAGUCUUAGAGUAAAACGAAGGAAGAGCAAUCGUCAUAAAGCUUGGAAUAUAGAGAAAAUUCACGACGCGUAUGUGAUAGCUGUCGAAGAUGAGGCUCGUGAGAAACUUGAUCGCCUCGCCUGGGCUCAACAGGUGCAGGUGGUGGACAUGUCUCAGCUGAUUGCACCCACUGUCACAGAAGUCACAGCUACUACAACUGUUACAUCAACUGUUGCUGCUGUCAGCUCUGUCACCACCACUCCCACUGCCAUCAGCAGCCCCACAGCAUCAACACAGCAACAGCAUAGUCUCGGGACAUUUGUAGCAGACACCACCACAGCCAGUGCAGAGUUCUCAGCUAAUAAAGCUUUGACCUGCACCACCACAACAGUGGUCAGUGACACUGAUACUCAAGUGACCGUCACUACCAGCACAGCCGCAGUUGUCACAACGCAGGGCCUCAGUGCUCGUGGUGGCCAGGGUCGCGGGCUGGAGGCCAAGACGUCUGGGAAACAACGCUGGAGGCGGGGGGAGGGCGGAGAGGAAUUUUUUGUUCAGCAGAACCCGCUCUACGAGUCUGCAGCUGCUCUCAUCAACUCUGCAGAUCCAGCGUCCAUGCCUGGAGAAAAGAAAAAGAAAAACAGCCCUUCUCCAAGAGGAGGGUUUGACAGCGGCACAACCAACGGUGGUAGUGGAGAAGAGAGUGGGGAAUGGAUGGAGAUGAAUGGCUAUAAUGACACAGGCAAAAAGAACAAAGGUAAAAGACGCAGCAAGAAUGGUGGUGGGGAGAGCCCAGCCAUUGGCGACUUCCUCUUCAAUGGGUCCAUCAACAUGAACAGCAAUGGCAGUGACCCUCACUACCGAAAUGGUGGUCACUCUCAGCUCAGUGGCAGCUACGACCUCAGCAGGGACAGCUCCUUUGACCUUGAACUUGAUGACCCUGGCCCACACCGUGAGAUGGCCAUUGAUGUGCCAGAGAACUUUGUGGCGAGCGUCAAGUCCCCACCUCGCUACCCACCGCCCCAGGUGGCUAGCAGCAUGCACAACCAGAUGAAAGACAGGGGAAAUAACUCUCACUCUCAGACCUCACUUAAUUCCGGUGCAAACAGUACUAAACACCAGUCCUCCAGUCUCCUACAACCGGCUGCACAUCCGGCCCAACCCACAGCCCAUGAGUUGGAAAGAUUGCAUCAUCAUCAAGAAGAACUCAAGAAACGUAGAGAGGAAGAAAGUCGCCAGCAGGCAGAGGAGGAUUUCCUACGAGCUUCUUUAAGGGGUUCCAAAAAGCUCCAGGCCUUGGAAAACAAGAAACCACUGACACAGAUCCCCUCAGGGUUUGUCAACACAGCUUUUGAUGAUGAGGAUGAUUUGGAGGACGAAGAGGAUGAUGAAGUUGAUGACAUUGAGGCCAAGUCUCAGCCCAGACAGUUGUCAGAUGUUAUGGUUGAGGAUCGGUACCUGAAGAAGAAUAUUGGUGUGGAAGACCUGUUCUCCAGCCUGCACCACAUCCGUAGCACAAUCACUGGGCCGGAGGACCAGAAAUACAUUGCCUUCCUGCGAUCAUUGUUCCAAAACGACCAGUUCCAGCAGGCUGUGAAUCUGCACUGUCAGGUGAUUGAGAUUAUGUCAAGGUCACCACCAGUUCGACCUCUGACGGAUGAUGUUGCUGAAACAGGCACAGAAGUCCAGUACAUGAUGACCCAAGCCCCACAUGAUCCUCAUGCCCAGGAGUUAUUUGCCCUGCUCAGUUCUCCUUAUCUUAAGAGUGUGCUAGAGUGUCAGGAUGCAGUGGCCCAGCAGGUUUUGCAGGCCCAAGAGGAGAUGGUGUACCAGGGGGAGGUUUUGGACUAUCCACUGGUCCAGUAUGGUGAGGACAGUGUCAAGAUCAUACACCUGGAAAAGACCAAUGUGCAUUUGGGUGCUACAGUAAAGAAUGAAGGUGACUCGGUUAUCAUUGGUCGCAUUGUAAAAGGUGGAGCUGCAGAGGAAAGCGGCUUGUUGCAUGAAGGUGAUGAGAUCCUGGAGGUGAACGGCGUUGACAUGAGAGGCCGCAACAUCAACGAAGUCUCAGAGAUGCUGGCGAACAUGAGUGGAACCAUCACUUUUAUCAUCAUCCCUGGGCACCGAGCUCAACUCAAUUCUCAGCAACGAUCAAACAUUAUGCAUCUGAGGGCGCUGUUUGCAUACGAUCCUGAGGAUGACCCAUACAUCCCUUGCCGUGAGCUGGGCAUCAGCUUUUGCAGAGGGGAGAUCCUGCAUGCUAUUGCACUGGAUGACCCCAACUGGUGGCAGGCUUAUCGGGAAGGAGAGGAGGAGGAUCAAUCGUUAGCAGGGCUUAUACCUAGCAAGUCUUUCACUGAACAACGAGUUGCAAUGCUCACUGCAAUGGAGAACAAAGAGAACAAAAGAAAGGGAAGGGUAUGUGCCUGUGGCAGGAAGGAAAGGAAAAAAAAGAAAAAGAAAAAGUCCCUGUACAAUGGAGGAUCUGAAGAUGCAGAAGAGACUCUGACUUAUGAAGAAAUCUCUCGCUACUUCCCGCAACCCAACCGCAAACGACCUAUCAUCCUGAUCGGCCCCUCCAAUGUUGGCCGACAAGAGCUACAGCAAAGACUCAUUGACUCUGACCCGGAUAGAUUUGGUGCUCCAGUGCCUCACACUACACGUCCACGACGAGCCAGUGAGGUGGACGGCAGCAAUUACCAUUACAUCAGCCGCGUAGACUUCCAGGCAAUGAUCCAGCAGAAUCAGUUUGUGGAGUACGGGGAGCACCAAAAGAACUUCUAUGGCACCUCGGUGGCUGCCAUCCGACAGUUGGUGGCUCAGGGCAAGGUCUGCAUGCUCAAACUACAGCCAGAGUCCUUGAAAGUGGUGAGGGCCUCCAGCUUCAUGCCCUAUGUGGUCUUUGUGAGGCCGCCCAAUCUGGACAAGCUUCGGCAGUUGCAGGACCAGCUAGACAAAGCCAGACCUCUGGAGGAGGCGGAGAGAGGCAGACUUGUGUUCACGGAUGACCAGCUGAAGGAGAUCAUCGAUAAAGCACGCGAAAUUGAAGAACUGUAUAGCCACUACUUUGACUUUGUCUUGGUGAACAGUGACCUAGACAGAGCCUAUGCCGAGCUACUGGAAGAGAUCAACCGCAUUGACAUGGAACCCCAGUGGGUGCCCGCAGCCUGGGUGGAUAGUUUGUGAGGCCGUCUGGGACAAGUUUGUGAGGCCAUCUGGUUGGAUAGUUGAACAAGUUUAUGAGGCCAUCUGAGCGGAUAGUAAGACAAGUUUGUGAGGCUGUCCGGUUUGGUAGUUGGACAGGUUGUAAGUCCUCUUUGGUGGACAGUUGGACAGGUUGUGAGGUCCCACCUGUGUGGAUAACUGGACAGGUUGUGAGGUCCCACCUGGGUGAAUAACUGAACAGGUUGUGAGGUCCCACCUGGGUGAACAGUUGGACAGGUUGUGAGGUCCCACUUGGGUGGACAGUUGGACAGGUUGUGAGGUUCCACCUGGGUGGAUAACUGGACAGCCCCACGUGAGUGAAUAACUGGACAGGUCCAAGGUGGACAGUUAGACAGGCUGUGAGGUCCUUCCAAGGUGGACAGUUGGACAGGUUGUGAGGUCCUUCCAAGGUGGACAGUUGGACAGGUUGUGAGGUCCUUCCAAGGUGGACAGUUGGACAGGUUGUGAGGUCCUUCCAAGGUGGACAGUUGGACAGGUUGUGAGGCAGCCUAAGGCUGUUCAGGUGCAAGCUGUUCUUUAAAAAAAAAAUAACUGUUGCAUGGUUUAUUUCAACAUUUUAAAGUGUGCUUAUGGUUCAGUCAGCCUCAGCAAAUAGAGGGUGAAAAAACUGUUUUGGACACGUCAAGAAGGCGUAUGUGCGGAGUGCAAUGUGUGUGUUCUUUUGAGCGAAACUAGUGAGAGGGACACUGAAUGUCAGAAUCAUCAUGAGGAACAGUUUGAUCUAGAACUCGUCUCUCUCUUACACACAACAGGGAUAUAUGGUAGAAGGGACAGCUGACUAGGAGCUUGUGAUUGGCCAUCUCAUUACUACACCAGACAGCAUGUCAAUUCUUAUACUGAUCUAAAUUAAAUUUGUCCUGCAGAAAUUACAAAAUGUCAACUUUGAAGCAUGGAAUAUAUUCAGUGUUUGUUGUUUUAUGAGUUUGGAGCUGACAUGCUCUAGUUACUUUUGAGAAUUAGGAAAUAGUUUGGAGCUCAAAUUUUUCUAAUCCAUGAGAACUACUGCUGGACUCCUUAACUUUUUAGGGCAAAGGUGAGCUGUACAGUCUUUUAGAUUUCUUUGUUUUGUUUUGGCGUGGUGGAAAUUCCUCAGCCCAAACUGAAUUGACCCAUGUAAUUUCAGGUUGGGCUUGAAAAAGUACCCAACUUGUACCAAGUGCUUUAUAUUCGACUGUUUUAGAAUGUGUUUGUCUGGUGUUGGGGUUGUGAAAAGUGCUCUGGUCUAUUUCUCUUUUGUAAGAGAACAGGUUCCUGUUUGAGAUGUAGAAAGGUAGCUGUGAGUGUACAGCAUUAUAGUCAUGUUUCCUUUCUCAGUUUUUUCUCAGAGGGGUGUUUUUCUCCAUGGUCUUUCUGAUGUCAUUAUGAAUGCUAGAGCAGUACAGCGUCGUCUACAUGAAGUGUCCAAGGCUAGUCUAGGGUUCUCAUAGUUCAAAUGUGGCAAAUGACCAUCACUUGUUCUAAAUAUGGGUUUUAUCCUUUUAGUUUGAUAUUUUAAGAGAUGGUCUUUUGGGCUUUCUAACGAAUUUUGUUCAUAUUAAGAUCUUUGGGGGGGGGUAUUUUUGUGUGUGUUUGUUUGAAUGCAUGCAUGUGGGGAGGGUGGCAGAGGGUUGCUUUCUCAGGCAUUCCGAUGUUUAGAAGCUGCUUUUGAAAUUUGAGUUUUGCAUCUAAACAGAAAUGUAUAUAAAUGCACACACGUACACAUGUUUAUGUUUGUGUGUGUGUGUGCGUGCGUGUACGUGCAUGCAUGUAUGGGCACGCAAUGACGUUAUAUACAGGUAUGUAUUAUUAUUAUUACUCGUUCCUUU
rnacentral:misc_RNA from 1 species